rnacentral:rRNA from 1 species
AGAGUUUGAUCCUGGCUCAGAAUCAACGCUGGCGGCGUGCCUAACACAUGCAAGUCGAACGCGAAAGUGGAGCAAUCCAUGAGUAGAGUGGCAAACGGGUGAGUAACGCGUGGGCGACCUACCUCAGAGUGGGGGAUAACCUUCCGAAAGGAGGGCUAAUACCGCAUGACAUACCGUGUUUGGAUACACGGAUAUCAAAGCCGGGGAUCGUAAGACCUGGCGCUUGGAGAGGGGCCCGCGUCCGAUUAGCUAGUUGGUGGGGUAACGGCCUACCAAGGCUCCGAUCGGUAUCCGGCCUGAGAGGGCGGACGGACACACUGGGACUGAGACACGGCCCANACUCCUACGGGAGGCAGCAGUGGGGAAUUGUUCGCAAUGGGCGCAAGCCUGACGACGCAACGCCGCGUGGAGGAUGAAGGAUUUCGGUCCGUAAACUCCUUUCGACCGAGAUGAACACCUCUUGACCUAAUACGUUGAGAGGUUGACAGUAUCGAGGGAAGCAGCCCCGGCUAACUCCGUGCCAGCAGCCGCGGUAAUACGAAGGGUGCAAGCGUUACUCGGAAUUACUGGGCGUAAAGCGUGCGUAGGCGGUUUGUUAAGUCUGUCGUGAAAGCCCUGGGCUCAACCUGGGAAUUGCGAUGGAUACUGGCAAGCUAGAGUACGGUAGAGGAUGGUGGAAUUCCCGGUGUAGCGGUGAAAUGCGUAGAGAUC